rnacentral:tRNA from 1 species
GCCUGGUUAGCUCAGUUGGUAGAUCGCUUCACUGGAAAUUGAGAGGUCCUGAAUUCGAUACCCGGACCAGGCG